rnacentral:sRNA from 1 species
AAAUAUCCAACAAAAUAAUAACUUACUCUCCUAUUUUGAAGUACCAAAAAAUUGUCAAAGCUUAGAUUGAUAAUAAUUUGUGAUGGAGGUUCUAUAUAGGGAUUAUUGUUGAUUUUGCCACUUUGCAUCAAAUUUUUUGAAGGAUAAUAUCACUGUAUAUGCUCAGAAGACUGGAUAAUUAGUCUCAUCAAAAUGUACUGUUGCCCCAACACUGUUAACUUUAUUUUUACGCAUGUACCCCUAUGUUAUAGAUUUACUAGUUGUAGAGUGUAGGCUAUAUUAUUGCAUGUUGUAGGAGUAGAUUUUAUUGCGAUAUUGUUUUCGGGAGUUGUGUUU